UAACUUAAUAUAUUUACUGGAUUUUGGUAAUUGCAGCAUAUGACAAAAACAUGAAUGUGUUCUGCUACUCCUAUUUUAAUUUCUUCAAUGUGUUGGGAGUCCCUGCGUAUGUGCAAUGUGAACGUGUACAGGUGACUGGUGACGACGUAAAAAAAAAAUAUAUAUAUAUAUAUAUAUAUAUAUAUAUUUCCCCAAUCCCACUAUGUGCCCUGAUAACUCUAGACCAGAAGGUGGCAGAAGUGCACCAAUAGGUGGCGGAAGGUUGGUUUAAACAAAACAUCAUCAGUAGAAGACAACGAACUGAACUUCAGUGUCAGAUCGUGUUUGAAAUGUGGCCGCAAGAUUAGACAUCUGACAUCAAUGGGCGAUGAACAGCAGUUCUCCACGGCCUUCAAUUCUUCCUUGAAAAGGACCUUACUGA